rnacentral:misc_RNA from 1 species
UACGGAGGGUGCAAGCGUUAAUCAGAUUUACUGGGCGUAAAGCGUGCGUAGGCGGCUUUUUAAGUCGGAUGGGAAAUCCCCGCGCUUAACUUGGGAAUUGCAUUCGAUACUGGGAAGCUAGAGUAUCGGAGAGGAUGGUAGAAUUUCAGGUGUAGCGGGGAAAUGCGUAGAGAUCUGGAGGAAUACCGAUGGCGAAGGCAGCCAUCUGGCCUAAUACUGACGCUGAGGUACGAAAGCAUGGGGAGCAAACAGG